rnacentral:misc_RNA from 1 species
UCUCUGCUUGCGCAGGCAGUCUUCUUAGAGUCCUCACCAUUACGUGUUAGCAACUAAGAAUAGGGGUUGCGCUCGUUGCGGGACUCAACCCAACAUCUCACGACACGAGCUGACGACAGCCAUGCAGCACCUGUGCAAGCUCCCCUUGCGGGGUCGUCCCACUUUCAUGGUUCUACCACUUGCAUGUCAAGGCCAGGUAAGGUUCUUCGCGUUGCAUCGAAUUAAACCACAUGCUCCACCGCUUGUGCGGACCCUCGCCAAUUCCUUUGAGUUUCAACCUUGCGGUCGUACUUCCCAGGUGGGAUACUUAAUGCUUUCGCUCAGACACACACAGUGUAUCGCGUAUGUCGAGUAUCCAUAGUUUAGGGCGUGGACUAC